GACGAACGCUGGCGGCGUGCUUAACACAUGCAAGUCGAACGGAAAGGCCCUGCUUGCAGGGUACUCGAGUGGCGAACGGGUGAGUAACACGUGGGUGAUCUGCCCUGCACUUCGGGAUAAGCUUGGGAAACUGGGUCUAAUACCGGAUAGGAGCCAUCUUUAGUGUGGUGGUUGGAAAGUUUUUUCGGUGUAGGAUGAGCUCGCGGCCUAUCAGCUUGUUGGUGGGGUAAUGGCCUACCAAGGCGGCGACGGGUAGCCGGCCUGAGAGGGUGUACGGCCACAUUGGGGCUGAGAUACGGCCCAGACUCCUACGGGAGGCAGCAGUGGGGAAUAUUGCACAAUGGGCGCAAGCCUGAUGCAGCGACGCCGCGUGGGGGAUGAAGGCCUUCGGGUUGUAAACUCCUUUCGCUAGGGACGAAGCUUUUUUGUGACGGUACCUAGAGAAGAAGCACCGGCUAACUACGUG
rnacentral:rRNA from 1 species